UUGCACUUAUUCGACAAAACGGAACGUAAAAAUGAACGCAAGAUGGCGGCCGGACGGCCCUGGAACGUAUACGGAGGUAAUAUACUUUUAAAAUUUAGCUUUAAGGUCGCCCAUCUCUAUUUUUUUUUUUUUCCACUUUUCAUUUUUGUUCUUUUGCCUCUAUCCCGUUCACUGCCUCCUGACUUUAAACCAACCCCACCAUAGAACUAAAACUUCAGUUUGCUGCUACGGUAUUACAUUCGUCGUUCGUUCUGUUGCGAGUCGUAAAAACGUAACGUCGAAACUUAGGCACAAUUUGGAACUGUU